AUUGAACGCUGGCGGCAUGCUUUACACAUGCAAGUCGAACGGUAACAGGCCGCAAGGUGCUGACGAGUGGCGAACGGGUGCGUAAUGCAUCGGAACGUGCCCAGUCGUGGGGGAUAACUACUCGAAAGAGUAGCUAAUACCGCAUACGAUCUAUGGUUGAAAGCGGGGUACCGUAAGGCCUCGCGCGAUUGUAGCUGCCGAUGUCAGAUUAGGUAGUUGGUGGGGUAAAGGCUCACCAAGCCAACGAUCUGUAGCUGGUCUGAGAGGACGACCAGCCACACUGGGACUGAGACACGGCCCAGACUCCUACGGGAGGCAGCAGUGGGGAAUUUUGGACAAUGGGCGCAAGCCUGAUCCAGCAAUGCCGCGUGCAGGAAGAAGGCCUUCGGGUUGUAAACUGCUUUUGUACGGAACGAAACGGCUCUGGUUAAUACCCGGGGCUAAUGACGGUACCGUAAGAAUAAGCACCGGCUAACUACGUG
rnacentral:rRNA from 1 species